rnacentral:rRNA from 1 species
AACGAACGCUGGCGGCGUGGAUAAGACAUGCAAGUCGAACGGGACCAGGUUUGUAGCAAUACAGGCUUGGUUCAGUGGCGCACGGGUGCGUAACACGUGAGCAAUCUGCCGGGAAGUGUGGGAUAGCUCGCCGAAAGGCGAAUUAAUACCGCAUAUGGCCAUCCUUUGAUUAAAGGAAAAGCCAAAGCAGCAAUGCGCUUCCUGAUGAGCUCGCGGCCUAUCAGCUAGAUGGCGGGGUAACAGCCCACCAUGGCUUUGAUGGGUAGCUGGUCUGAGAGGACGACCAGCCACACUGGAACUGAGAUACGGUCCAGACACCUACGGGAGGCAG